rnacentral:misc_RNA from 1 species
AACGUAGGAGGCAAUCGUUGUCCGGAAUUAUUGGGCGUAAAGCGCGCGCAGGCGGUCCUUUAAGUCCGAUGUGAAAGACCCCGGCUCAACCGGGGAGGGCCAUUGGAAACUGGGAGGCUUGAGUAUAGGAGAGAAGAGUGGAAUUCCACGUGUAGCGGUGAAAUGCGUAGAGAUGUGGAGGAACACCAGUGGCGAAGGCGACUCUUUGGCCUAUAACUGACGCUGAGGCGCGAAAGCGUGGGGAGCAAACAGG